CGAAACUAUGAGUUAAUAUAACCACAGAUUUCGUAUCAAAGCUAACAGUUUCGAUUUCUUUUCAAGUAUGUUUACUUGGAAAAGUUCAUGACUUUUCAGAUGCACUCCGAAGAAGGAUGUGUGGCUUCCACUGAUGUCUUACCAAAUUCUUUGCUAGCUGGUGGUGAUGAUGACACCAUGUCAGUCAUUAGUGGAAUCAGCAGCGCGGGGUCAACAGUACGGAGUAAAAAAUCAAAACCAUCUACAGGAAAACGGAAAGUGGUUGAGGGCAUGCAGCUUUCACUCACCGAAGAAAGUAGUAGUAGUGACAGUAUGUGGUUAAGCAGAGAACAAACACUGCACACCCCUGUUAUGAUGCAGACACCACAACUCACCUCCACUAUUAUGAGAGAGCCCAAAAGAUUACGGCCUGAGGAUAGCUUCAUGAGUGUUUAUCCAAUGCAGACUGAACAUCAUCAAACACCUCUUGAUUAUAAGUAAGUACAUUUGAUCAUUUUCUGUACUAUAACUUUAUUAAUUACAUAGAAAAAGUUAAGUUAAAAGAAGAAUAAAAUUCUCCUUGAAGCACGCAGGUAACAUGGAUGUUAGCUCAAAGACAACAAGAGGAAGCAAGGCAACAGCAGGAGAGAGCAGCAAUGAGCUAUGUUAAACUGCGAACUAAUCUUCAGCAUGCCAUGUAAGUGAGAGUGCCUUAUUGUCUGAGUCUAGGAAGUUCACUAAUUCAUUUUAACAUUUUAAUGUGUGCCUUAUCUAAAAAUUUCAGCAAACUCUCUAGAGUAACUUAAGCUGAAAUAAUCAAGGAACUAAAAAUUGGUCUUUCCAACAGAAAAGCAAAAUAUUUUAAUUAAAAUACUACCUAGUUAGCCAAAGGACCAAUCUUAGGUUGAUCUGUUGGAAAAGUUUAAAUAUCAAUCCUUGUUUAUUUUGGUACACAGCAUUAAAAAUACAGUUGUGUUACAUCCUAAUUGAUUUUCCCAACUUAGUUCAGGCCCUCAUCUCUCACCUGAACUAUUGUAUUAGCUUUCUAACUGGUUUUCUUCCCUCAAAUCUCCCAUUUAUUUUCUCACCAAACCUCUCCCUUCACCCCCCCUGCUCCAUCAUUCACACCACCAUCAAGAAUUACUAUUCUAGAAUAAAAAUCUUACCAUGUAACUCUUACUUAAAACCUUUCUGUGGCUCCCCAUUGCCUGCUGGAUAAACUCCCAACUUCCUUAGCUCAUGGCAUGCAAGAUGUUUCAAAAUAUGGCCCCUGCCACGUUUUAGUAUCAUUUCCUAUUCCCUGGCAGCUGGUAAAAUCAUCAUAAAAGAACAAGCUCAGGUGUCACCUUAACUGAAGCUUUGGUCAUCUAUGCUCCCAUAACACUAUGUAUAUCCAUAUUUCUUAUAGCACUUGCCACAUUGUAUUGUAAAUAUUUGUUUAUGAGUUUGUCCCGUUUGUCUAGACUGUGAGCUCCUCAAGGGCAGGGACCACAUUCAUUGCCUAUCAGUGCUUGGCACGUAAAAGGUGCUAAGUAAAUGUUCAUUGAAUGAAUAAAUGUUCAAUGCUAAAAAAAUGAAGUUUAUCUUUUAAAUACUUUGUUUUUACUGGAUUAUGUAUGAUAACUUUAUAAAUCUUUCUAAAAUCUUCAUUAGCUUUGGCUCUAAAAAACAUGGCAGACAAGCAGUCUUUAGAUAAUUUUUUUAAAUGUCUUGAUUGGUAUACAGGGAAAAGUGUGAUGAUUAUGAUUAAGUUUUUGAGUUUGAAAGCAUUGUAUUUAUAAUGUGGUAUAUGUUUUACUAUUGGGAGAUAGUUGUUACCCUCUUCUUUUUUUAAUUUAUAUUUUGUUCUGUCUUGUUGGUUUUUAGAUGUUAAGAAUUUUACCUGUUUUUCUUACAAAAUGAUCAUUUACUAUGAGUGGUGGCCUGCAUAAAUUCACUUUAGUUAUCUCCAUAGUGGUCUUAACCUCUAGAGACACAAGGUAUACUCUAUUACACGUAUAGAUUCUGAUCCUGGUUAAUAUGGUCAUCAUCUAUAUUGUCACAUAGUUCUAUCCUCUUUUGUCUGUUUCUGUGACCACAUUCCUUUUAAUAUAAGUUCUUAUUUUAUGCUGGAUCCUACAACUAAUUUCUUGGCUUCCAAGUAGUCGCCGGUCCAUAUAUUCCAGAAUUCUGCCGUGCAAUCAUUUGGUCUAUAUCUCUCCCCAUAAAACAUUACACCAGUUCCUAAGAUCCUAUAUAGCAUGUCACUACUUAGUACCAUUUUAAUUCCCAAUUAUAGUUAACUCCUCCGCCUCCCGGCAACUACAAGAAAUUAUCUCAGUUAAAUGACUAUUACCAAAGGAUUCUUUGGUGGUUGUACCAUAAGUCAUCUAUUGCAUGGGACUCUAAAGCAUUUUCAUCUUACAAUGAUUUUUCUAUAAUGGUAUCUGCCCUAUAACUAAAAAUACUUCCAAAUUUUCUUUUUUAUUUUUCAUAGCUUGUAUCACAUAUAUCUUCCUUGUACUUCAAACAAAAUGCAGAACGGCUUUCUGAUUUUCUGUCACAUAGUUCAUACAGCACAUAUAUUCCCUUCACGGUUGCCUCUACAAAAUACAGUAAAAUUGUCUUUCUACCCAGAACUGUUAGGAAGUAAGGACCAUUAUAAACAUAUUUGUCCAGGUAACAUGGAUCAGAGAUCGUAUCUUGUUGUCUUUAUAUCUUUUAAGAACCAGCAUAGUAUUGUGUAAAUUGUAAGCAUUCGGUAAAUAAUUGCUGGGGUUUUGGCAACUUUCUUGACUGUGGGGGUGUCUUUGGAUGAGAAAAGAAGGUAAUGUUGGCCAAACUAGGGAAAAACAAGUCCUACUCAGUUUCACUAUUAUGUUGGCUACUUUAUGCUGAUCUGGGCUAAUUUGUGAACUUAAUUUAUUCCCCAUAAUUAUGUAAUAACGUAUAUAACUUUUGGUCUUAGUUUUUCAUUUUAAAUUUCUAAAUAUGUCUUAGUUUUGAGUUUCAUAGGGCACACGAAUCUGAGUUUCAGCAUGAGUGUUCCUCAUUUCUUCCUGAGGCAGAAUUAAUUCCUUAUUUUAGUAUGUCCUUAUAACACUUGAUGCAUAGUUUUCUUGUAAUAUUUAUCACAUUUUGUCAUAAUUAAUUGUUUAUCUCUGUUUGCCAUGGUAGACUGUAAGCUCCUUGAGGGCAGGAAUCAUGUCUUAGUCUUAUUCAUCUUUUUUUUUUUUUUUUUUUUUU
rnacentral:lncRNA from 1 species